rnacentral:rRNA from 1 species
CAGUCGCCGCGGUAAUACGGAGGGGGCUAGCGUUGUUCGGAAUUACUGGGCGUAAAGCGCACGUAGGCGGCUUGGUAAGUUAGAGGUGAAAGCCUGGAGCUCAACUCCAGAAUUGCCUUUAAGACUGCCGAGCUAGCAGGUGAGAGAGGUAAGUGGAAUUCCGAGUGUAGAGGUGAAAUUCGUAGAUAUUGGGAAGAACACCAGUGGCGAAGGCGGCUCACUGGACCGACACUGACGCUGAGGCGCGAAAGCGUGGGGAGCAAACAGGAUUAGAUACCCCCGUAGUCCCUGUCUCUUAUAC